rnacentral:rRNA from 1 species
ACGCACGCUGGCGGCGUGCUUAACACCUGCCAGUCGAACGGAAAGGCCCUGCUUUUGUGGGGUGCUCGAGUGGCGAACGGGUGAGUAACACGUGAGUAACCUGCCCUUGACUUUGGGAUAACUUCAGGAAACUGGGGCUAAUACCGGAUAGGAGCUCCUGCUGCAUGGUGGGGGUUGGAAAGUUUCGGCGGUUGGGGAUGGACUCGCGGCUUAUCAGCUUGUUGGUGGGGUAGUGGCUUACCAAGGCUUUGACGGGUAGCCGGCCUGAGAGGGUGACCGGCCACAUUGGGACUGAGAUACGGCCCAGACUCCUACGGGAGGCAGCAGUGGGGAAUAUUGCACAAUGGGCGGAAGCCUGAUGCAGCAACGCCGCGUGCGGGAUGACGGCCUUCGGGUUGUAAACCGCUUUCGCCUGUGACGAAGCGUGAGUGACGGUAAUGGGUAAAGAAGCACCGGCUAACUACGU